ensembl:lncRNA
AUGAAUUCAGCCGGGGUACCAGCCUUUGUCUCAGCAAAUCUUCCUUCCUCCCCCCUGGUUCACAUCAUUCCGGAGCAAACCCUGUACCUGAACUGGCUGCUGCUCCCACUCCAGCAUAAACCAAAUGACCUCCCCCUCCUGGAAGACCGUGUAGCAACUUGCCGAGCUUCCGUCUUUAGUCACUUACUGCUGAGGAAUGAGGAAAUAAAGAACAGUGCCCUUGACUCGAGCUCACCGGAGAAAUUACGAGUAAGCAAAGUUUAGGAGGCUCGCUAAUGACUGUGAUUUCAAAGAUACCUCAUAUUCCUAGGGAACAGUAGCGAGAGUCUUUGUUCCCGAAGUGCUCGUGACGUGCAUGACUCUCAUCCUGAUGUGCAAGACCCUCAUCUGGACAUGCAUGACUCUUACCAUUUGAAGACUUGUGUUGUAUGGACCUCAAAGAAGAAUGGGGAGUAAUUUUCCACUCCACGUCACUUAAAUGUCUGCAGGCUGCUGGAAAGGAAAGAAUAAGCCAUUGUUCUCAUUCUUCCAUUCCAAAGGUCUCCAAAUUAGGGCUAGGUAGCAAAAGUAGAUUGUGGGGCUAUAAUUGGGAGGAGGGUGUGCCACCCCCAGACUAUAACAGAGAAUGUAUUCCUACCUAAUGCUCAGCCUUGGAAAACAAACUGCAGCAAACAGUUUGCAAAUAUGUUAGGUACUGAAUGUUGCAAGGUUAGUGUUGAAGUGUCAGCCUCAGUGCACUGGCCACCUUCCAGGCUGGAUAAAUGGCAUGCUGCUUACUCAAACACCCCUACAGUUACACUUGCCCAGAGUAUUCUUCUCUUCCUGCCCUGAAAUGCAGUACAGAGCUGCUGUGAGUCCAUUAAUAAUAGAGCACUUCAAGAGCAGGCAGUCCUCCAUUCUGUCAUACUGUUUGUAAAUUGUCUCAGGGCAAUGUAGGUGUAUAGAAAGUGAACAGCCAGGCGCAGUUAGAACCUGGCAUGAGUGAACUAUUUUAGUGCCAAUAGCUUUGAAUAGGGUUAUUUUGGUUCCUUAUACUCUUCAGAAGGUCACUAAUUUUACUUGUUAUGGUGUGAAUUCUUAUUGUAAUCCUGUUUCGAGGGGAAACACUAGUAACCUGGUUCACAUGUCUGUGGAAUUUUGUGAUGUAACUUUAGGAGUUUGAAUUUCUGCUGUCAUGUAUUCUGAGAAUUAGAGAACAAGGGUGGAGGUCACUUUGGAGACUGACACCUACGUUUUGAUAUUUAAAAAUACACAGGUAUCUAAAUUCCCAUCAAAGGAAAAACAGUCAACAUAAUACCUCAUGGUCUGGACAACCAGCUAGUAGGUGUCCGCCUUAGGGUGAGCUGAACUGCUUUUUGAACUCCACUGAUUAUGCUGGGUUUCGCUAUUAAUAUCACAGACUGUAUUGGCUCCUUAGUUAAUGGUGACGUUCCCUGGAGUUAAUAGGAGUUCUGACAAUCAGUGCAUGUUAGGUGCAGGUGCAGACACUUACAGCUAAACAUCUUAAUCCCAAGAUGGAUCCAACUAAGCAAGAGUAAGACACUCUCUCCUCUUGUUUUUUGUUUGCUCCACAUUAAAUAUGUAUUCCAUUUUUAGGUGAAAAUCAGGCUAUAGUUUGCAUCCAGAACAGCACAGCUGCUCUUAGUGCUGGGCAAUAAUACCCACAGACCUGAUCCAUGGAGCUCUAUCUGAAAGCAACUCCAGGUUGUUUAUUGCUUCUGUAUUCUUCACUGCUAUGUCUUAGCUCAGACCUCCUGUGCACACGCAGUGUACUCCUGGAUUGCUAGAUAAUGUAUUAAAACGACCCUGUGAACUCCUCUGAUUCCAUUGCAGUAGGUCAUCUGCAAAGCUAUAAAGCAAUUGAUGUACAUGGGGCUGCGGGGUGAAGCAGCCAGUCACACACCCGAGUGUCUCUCCUUUGCUCAUAAAGCAUUCAGAUGGGUUCUGCCACCUCUGCCAGAAACUAUGCACUGCUUCUGUUUCAUAUGCAUGAGGAAAAAGCAAAAAAUCAGAGUAGAAAUUGCAGCAAGUGCAGAAAUGAUGAUCAUGAUCAUAACAAAUCAAGAAUACCGUACAUGCAAAAUAAGAGCAGGAACAGCAUAGGCAGGAAAUGGCAGGAAGAGAAAUGUUAACAAGAGGAUAUAACAGCACAAGGGAGCUGUGCUUUUCCAAGACAUGAUGCAAGGAGUUCCCCUAUCUGCUCAGGCCAUCCUUGCUGGGUGAGCUCAGGAUGCCAGUGAGUAUGCAGUGACUUUUACAACCCUAGAGGUCAGCAAGGACAUGCCCAGUAUUGAUACAUACUGUGCUUCCUAUGACUUUCCCAUUCAGCCUCUGCUAGUGGAAAUUACGCCGCUGCCCACCGUAACUGCCCUGUGUUUUGGACGGGGACAAAUCCCACAUUCUUCUAGCCAUAGGGAGGACCUUUCAAUUUUCCUUUUCACCUGUGAUUUCUACUAGCAAGGAUAGCUCCCUUCUUACUGAUUGAAAAUUUAACAUGUAAUUCCUCAUAUCAUUUCCUUUCCUCCUGCAGGGAACUGCUGUGCCUCUAACCUGUCCACAGUAGCUUACUGUCUGCAGCUCUGCUCCCGCUAAAAUGAGCCUGGGAAGAGCCAGGGGAGACAAAGAUGCUUGCAAAUCAUGGAGAAUGGGCAACUAUCGCUAAUGUCCUGGCUAGGGCUUUUAAGCGUGCAGGGUGCCCAAGGGUGUUGUUACAGAAAGGCAGCUUCUGCACUCAUUCCCUGAUGCAAAGCUCUCUGUAACACCUUACCAUCUUAAAUUUCUGUGACACUUUGAGUGUCUUUGGCUAUAAAAAAUAUUCUCCAGUUUCAUUAUCUCUUUUCAGCAAUGUAAAGACUACAAUCUGUUUGGAUCUUUUUGAUUAAUUUCCUCUCCAGGUGAGAAAACAUGUAUUUCUGUAUUUGUAUAGAUAUUUAAUUUAUAGAUAUAAAACGAGACCAGAGGUAAAUGAUCCUACUAUAUUGAUAUGGUUACACUGCACUCUUUCUGUUAAAAAUCAGCUGAAUAUGAGCUUAUAGAUGUAUUAACCCAAGUAGAGAUAAAACAGUUGCUCUUGAGAAAAAAUCCAAGGUUGUAGAACCAAUUUAUUAUAAUGACUACCCUGUGCUGACCUUGUGGAAGGAAGCCUCCUCCUAGUGGAGAUUGUGUUGAUAUUAUUUUGUGUUCAUCAGGCUGUGGGCAGAAAUAAAAGUUAAUAUUGCUGAAAGUCA